rnacentral:misc_RNA from 1 species
GAUGAAGAACGCAGCGAAAUGCGAUAAGUAAUGCGAAUUGCAGAAUUCAGUGAAUCAUCGAAUCUUUGAACGCACAUUGCGCCCGCUAGUAUUCUGGCGGGCAUGCCUGUCUGAGCGUCAUUUCAACCCUCGCCCCCGGCUUUUGCUGGGAGCGGUGUUGGGGAUCGGCCGCCCGUCACUGGGAGGCCGGCCCCGAAAUAGAGUGGCGACCACGCCGUGUGCUCCUCUGCGUAGUAGUAAAUCACCUCGCAGGCGGACAGCGGUGCGGCCUGCCGUAAAACCCCCAACCCUUUCUGGUUGACCUCAGAUCAGGUAGGAAUACCCGCUGAACUUAAGCAUAUCAAUAAGCGGAGGA